rnacentral:rRNA from 1 species
UUACGGUGCAUUGGAGUCGUUCUAAGUCCACGUGAAUUGUGGCUUAAAAGCCCAGAGAGGGUGUAAGGCCCGUGAGAACGAUACAGUGUAUUCAUUGGAGUGUUCCUAGAGUCGGAUUGUUUGGGAAUGCAGUCCAAAGUGGGUGGUAAGCUCCAUCCAAGGCUAAAUACAACACGAGUCCGAUAGCGAACAAGUACCAUGAGGGAAAGUUGAAAAGAACUUUGAAGAGAGAGUUCAAUAGUGCGUGAAACCGCUCAGAGGUAAACAGGCAGAGCCGAAAAAGGGGUGUACAUUUGUCUUCCGCGAUAACUCAUGCUGAUGUUUNAAGGAGAUUCGUAAGAACUCCCACGUUGGUGUGUAGUGUCGUGUUGGGCUAUUGUGCAUUUCCGGCACCACGAUCAGUGCCUAGAUUGGCCAUGUCAUACGGGGAAAGUUAACUGGUUCUUUUUGAACUAGAAUUUAUAGACUCUGUGUACAGCGCCGGUCGAACACUGAGAAAUGCGAUGCAGGACAAUGUGGUGUACAUGUUAGUGCUGGUUGCUGGUGCUCGGUAUUGACUCUAAGAGAUAAUGCCGGGUUGUCGGUGGUCGGUAUUGACCUCUGUAUGCUGCAGGAAUGAAUCCGUGGUGAUUAUGUAAGCAAUCUGCCUGACCCGUCUUGAAACACGGACCAAGGAGUUUAGCAUGUGCGCGAGUCAUGGGGUCGUACGAAACCUAAAGGCGAAGUGAAAGUAAAGGCUUACAUUUUCGUGAGCUGAGGUAGGAUCUCGGUUUCUAUGUACAUUUUGUACAAGUACUGAGCGCACUACCAGCUCGUCCAAUGCUUUAUUAAGCAGGGCGACGCAAGAGCGCACACGCUGAGACCCGAAAGAUGGUGAACUAUGCUUGUGUAGG